UGGGGAAUUUUGGACAAUGGGCGAAAGCCUGAUCCAGCAAUGCCGCGUGUGUGAAGAAGGCCUUCGGGUUGUAAAGCACUUUUGUCCGGAAAGAAAUCCUUGGCUCUAAUACAGUCGGGGGAUGACGGUACCGGAAGAAUAAGCACUGGCUAACUACGUGCCAGCAGCCGCGGUAAUACGUAGGGUGCAAGCGUUAAUCGGAAUUACUGGGCGUAAAGCGUGCGCAGGCGGUUUGCUAAGACCGAUGUGAAAUCCCCGGGCUCAACCUGGGAACUGCAUUGGUGACUGGCAGGCUAGAGUAUGGCAGAGGGGGGUAGAAUUCCACGUGUAGCAGUGAAAUGCGUAGAGAUGUGGAGGAAUACCGAUGGCGAAGGCAGCCCCCUGGGCCAAUACUGACGCUCAUGCACGAAAGCGUGGGGAGCAAACAGGAUUAGAUACCCUGGUAGUCCACGCCCUAAACGAUGUCAACUAGUUGUUGGGGAUUCAUUUCCUUAGUAACGUAGCUAACGCGUGAAGUUGACCGCCUGGGGAGUACGGUCGCAAGAUUAAAA
rnacentral:rRNA from 1 species